rnacentral:rRNA from 1 species
CCCGGCGCACGGGUGAGUAACGCGUAUGCAACUUGCCUAUCAGAGGGGGAUAACCCGGCGAAAGUCGGACUAAUACCGCAUGAAGCAGGGGCCCCGCAUGGGGAUAUUUGCUAAAGAUUCAUCGCUGAUAGAUAGGCAUGCGUUCCAUUAGGCAGUUGGCGGGGUAACGGCCCACCAAACCGACGAUGGAUAGGGGUUCUGAGAGGAAGGUCCCCCACAUUGGUACUGAGACACGGACCAA